AACUGGGGAUUCAUUGUGCUCCUUGAAUAGCACAUGGACGAAGCACUUGUGCUUUAUCCGUGCAGAAUCGAUAUCAAGAGAUUUCAGAAGCACAAUUUUAGUUUCUUGGAGCUGCUGGUGAUCGUUUGUUUUGGCACUCCA